rnacentral:rRNA from 1 species
UACGUAGGGUGCGAGCGUUGUCCGGAAUUAUUGGGCGUAAAGAGCUCGUAGGUGGUUUGUCGCGUUGUCCGUGAAAACUCACAACUCAAUUGUGGGCGUGCGGGCGAUACGGGCAGACUGGAGUACUGCAGGGGAGACUGGAAUUCCUGGUGUAGCGGUGGAAUGCGCAGAUAUCAGGAGGAACACCGGUGGCGAAGGCGGGUCUCGUGGGCAGUAACUGACGCUGAGGAGCGAAAGCGUGGGGAGCGAACAGG